CAGUAGCCGCGGGAAUACGAAGGGGGCUAGCGUUGUUCGGAAUUACUGGGCGUAAAGCGCACGUAGGCGGAUAUUUAAGUCAGGGGUGAAAUCCCAGAGCUCAACUCUGGAACUGCCUUUGAUACUGGGUAUCUUGAGUAUGGAAGAGGUGAGUGGAAUUCCGAGUGUAGAGGUGAAAUUCGUAGAUAUUCGGAGGAACACCAGUGGCGAAGGCGGCUCACUGGUCCAUUACUGACGCUGAGGUGCGAAAGCGUGGGGAGCAAACAGGAUUAGAUACCCCCGUAGUCCCUGUCUCUUAUAC
rnacentral:rRNA from 1 species